CCGAAUCCGUCCGGGUCGGGCGGCGGGAUAGAUUCCGUGCACGUGCAUUACGUAGACGCAUGCAGUUGACAGCACCAAUUCUGACGUAAUCUGCGACGCGGGCGCAGCAGGUCCAGAUAAUUUGUGACGGUCUGACAUUUCGGCAAUUCUGGAAAUGACGCGCGCAAACGUCGAGACAGGGACGCGCGCUUAAGUUUGCGCGGGAAGACGCUUGUAGAACAUGUCUCCGGAGCUGAAGGAUCCCCGGUGGCGAUGUGCGCCGCAUCGAGGCUAGACGAUGAGCACGAUUAGCGAACGGGAUUGUAAUUUUUCAUGUCUCAUAAUGACGAGAGCCGCCAGUCUCCGGGCGAGAGAAGAGGAUGGAAUUACGACUUAUCAUCGCGAAAAGUCGCUCUAUGCAGAUUGCUUAUCUGGUGUAUGGCACUUGUUACACAUGCAAAAGGAAGCGGAACGAGAUUGUCGUCCAUCAAGGAAAAUAAAUGUCUUCCCUGCUCUUGCAAGAAAAAGACGCUUUUAUCUUCCAUCAGGUAAAAAUCUUGUUUAGCGAUAUAAUUGCAUAGAAUUUCAAUACUGAAUAUCCGAAAAUUUGGAAAA